AGGGUUUGAUCAUGGCUCAGAUUGAACGCUGGCGGUAGGCUUAACACAUGCAAGUCGUGCGAGAAAGUACCUUCGGAUAUGAGUAGAGCGGCGGACGGGUGAGUAACGCGUAGGAAUCUACCUAGUAGAAGGGGAUAGCCCGGGGAAACCCGGAUUAAUACCGUAUACCUCCUUCGGGAGAAAGAAGGCCUCUCUUUGAAGCUUUCGCUACUAGAUGAGCCUGCGUAAGAUUAGCUUGUUGGUGAGGUAAAAGCUCACCAAGGCGACGAUCUUUAGCUGGUCUGAGAGGACGAUCAGCCACAUUGGGACUGAGACACGGCCCAGACUCCUACGGGAGGCAGCAGUGGGGAAUAUUGGACAAUGGGCGCAAGCCUGAUCCAGCCAUACCGCGUGUGUGAAGAAGGCCUUCGGGUUGUAAAGCACUUUAAGCAGGGAGAAAAAGUUAUAAGUUAAUACCUUAUAACCCUGAUGUUACCUGCAGAAUAAGCACCGGCUAAUUCCGUGCCAGCCGCCGCGGUAAUUC
rnacentral:rRNA from 1 species